AACCCAAGACUCUCUCAAAUCCGUCUCUCCCAACACUAGUGUUCUUAACAGUCACCGCCGCCGCCUUCCACCAUAUUCUUAGGUCUCGUUCUUCCACAUUGAACCUAGUCCGCCCAUUUCGUGUAACUUCCUCUCACCUAAUCUCCGAACACCAUCACUUUCGCCUUUGUCAGCUACCCUCUCUAUUGCCCCCACCAGUGAUACCUCGUAACAAUCUUGGUUUGCGUGUUGCCUGGUGAUUCCACCUCCACCAGCUUUGGUUGUGCGCGAGCGACGAGCUCCAACUCGAAACCCAUGAGCCUAGUUCAAAGAUCGCCCUUGUCCAUCACCUUUUUAAGUUCUUGUUCAUGGGUUUGCAAAAGAUUUUCGUAAGUUGACCCAUUCCCACGCUUCAAUUUUUCUGGGUUUUGUAGUGGAUCCUUGGAGUGACUUUAACAUCUCGUCGACCUGAGUGUCCAGUUCUUCAACUUAGUGAGAUUGAGCAUGUCUUCGACAGGAAGCUUUCAUCAAAUCUUGCAGUGAAGUCUCGGAGGGAGAUUGGGGAUCGAAAUCAUCGUGGGUGGGCGGUUGCUGAGACAAUGGCUUCGUACACAAUUUAUCUGAAUUUUUUCUUAUUUCUUGAAUGUGUUUUAGAUUUAGAGUUAAGUGGAUUUGUGUCGUCGCUCGUGGCUUGGGAGGGCUACGACAUCGUUUGUGGCUGGGAGGUAGCUAAGGAAUUUGAGGCAUACGUUCAUGGGUUCAAGGGUUGGGUUCAUGGUUCAUGGCUAGGGAGAGCUAGGUUCAUGGCUCCGAGAACUGAGUUCGUGGUUCGUUGAUGGGGAGGGUUGGGUUUGUGGUUGAUUUGAUUUUGUGAGAUUUGUACACAUGGUUAACGAGAAAGAUGGGUGAAGGACAACAAUUAGGGGGGAGGUCGACCACCUUCUGAGUUUUGGGUUCUGGAAAGAUGCAAGGUCGCCAAUGAGUUGUAAUAUUUUGAGUUUUUUCUAGGUUGAAGUGAUGGGGAAAAGUGGGUUUUAUGAGAGAUUUGCGUUUCUAGGUCUGUGCUCAAGGGCUCAAUGGUUGGGUAUUCUUGAUCUUGUUGGGUUUUGAAUGCGAGUUUGAUGGUUUUUGUUGGGUUUGUUCAUUACUUUGUUUAUAUUUUUGUUGAGAUUUUGUUGAUUUGCAUAUUUGUGUAUGAAUUGGGUAUGGAAGAGAGGAAAUGCUUCCAUCAUUAGGUUUUGGAUGUUGAUUUGUGAUAUUCAUAAUGAUUUUUUGUUUGUUUUCAAA